rnacentral:misc_RNA from 1 species
GAUGAAGAACGUAGCGAAAUGCGAUAAGUAAUGCGAAUUGCAGAAUUCAGUGAAUCAUCGAAUCUUUGAACGCACAUUGCGCCCCUUGGUAUUCCAUGGGGCAUGCCUGUUCGAGCGUCAUUUGUACCUUCAAGCUUUGCUUGGUGUUGGGUGUUUGUCCCUCGGGACUCGCCUUAAAGUCAUUGGCAGCCAGUGUUUUGGUUUUGAAGCGCAGCACAAGUCGCGAUUCAAGGCUAUCCGCCCGCUUCCACAAGCCUUUUUCACUUUUGACCUCGGAUCAGGUAGGGAUACCCGCUGAACUUAAGCAUAUCAAUAAGCGGAGGA